GGCGUUGGAAUUCUUUUUCGGGCAAAGGACGCUCUUCCUCUCGUAUGAACCCCUCGUCCUCACGGAAUCUUUCCAUCGCUUCCACCCCGAGCUCGUAAAAUUUGAUCUCUUCCGAGAACAUAUCCAGAGCUCCAUCCAACGGAGGACGUGAGGAAAGGAGGAAUCAAGAAAACGUGUAAUUAAAAAAAUUUUUUUUACUAGAUCUCUUGAGGUAGGUUACAUAACAGUAGAUUCCAAUCAUGGGCAUCAAUAUUAGCUGGCAGGUUAGUUGAUGAUCAUGAUAGUGAGCCUACACUUAAGACAUUAAAUGCUUUAUUUAUUUAUUUACUUGCUUGCUUGCUUGCUCACUUGUUUGUUUGUUUGUUUGUUUGUGUAUUUAAUUAUCCACCAUGCGAGAGUUCAGAUGGCUGGCAGCACAGGCCAGAGGGGACAGGCCCAGCUCUACUGCACUGAUGGAGGUUUUCUCCCACAGUCCAAAGACAUGCAGUAGGCUACCUGUAGAUUCUAAAUUACCCGAAGAGACGGCAGUGUGUGAAUCGCAGGAGGACAGCUGUCUCUGAGAUGCUGGAACCACCACGUCUGACACCAACAAUCAGACCACGGCCAAAGUCUUUCAGAUCACGCAUCUUUCCCUAUUCUAACGUUUGGUCGAACAGCAACUAAACCUCCUCACCUUGUCCGUGUGCUUUAAAUAUUGAGUUGCAGUCACAUGAUUCGCUGUUUGGAGGAGCAGGCUAUUUGUGUUAACGAGCAGGUGUAUCUAAUAAAGUGGCCACUGAGUGUACAUCCGUCUGAGCAAACGUUUAUAACUGGAACUGAGAAUGUUGGCAGACAUUUUUGCCUCUGGUUAAUCUCCUGCCAUCCUGCAGUUAAUUUUUAAUCAAGCUUAUUAAAUAUUUGGCUUUCGAUAAAGGAUGUAGCACUGCAAAUCGUAAACAUUAACUAAUUUACUAACAGAUAAGAGACUCAUACAUAUUUGCACAGAAAUAAAGGUAUGGUACUGUACCACGACAUGCCGAUAAGCCGAGCCCAGCCUCAGUGUUACUGCAACGAACUUUGUUCUCGCCUUGAGGAUGUGUUAAGGAACUGAAGUUUAUUUUUUAAUAACUGCUGAACACGCGUUUCCACAUGACACGACUGGAUUAAAUAAUAAUUAACAAGAUUUAUUGCUGUUUGAAUUAGAUACUUUGUGUGCCUUUCUCCGAGGACGUUUUCGUUCACACUGAGCUCAAGGCCUAGGCCUGGAUUCUAGGGAAAAUCAUGUGUUAAUUGUUUUGUUUUUUCACAUUUUGUUUAAUUAAUGUGAAAGAUGAACUCAAACUGUAUUUGUGAAGAAGAAAACAAAUAGUUGCAUUUUGUAAUGAGUCAAAUCUGAGGAGAAAUGUUGAUUGAACCAUCCAAUUUUUAUCAAGCAGCUGAAAAGAAGCACGUAUUCACUCGACCUGAUCUCACAGCCCAUUCAUAUCGAUUCAAUCCAUUUCCAGCACCUUAAAGUUUGGGAUGAGUGGGCGGAGGAUGAAGACGGAGGAGGAGACUUCUUUGAUUGUAAACACAGGACCACAGCAAGGCUGAAAAAUCCUGCAUAGUAUGCCUUUAAGACUGUGUGCUACUAAUACACUGCAUUGUGUUUGUAGUAAUACAGAGUGCUCACAUAAUUAUAGCUCACAAAUAUGGCCUUUUUUAACAUCGUGGUUUUCACUACAACUCUCUCCCUUUGAAAUCUUCUUCACAUCAAAGACUAUUUUCCCAAAUUGCAUUAUUACAAUUACAGUGAUACCAGAUUCAUUGUUGUAUUAAUUCCAAUAAUAAUUAAUCAUUGUUGUCUUGUUUUGUCAUUUUUAACCCUGUCUCAAGUGUAUUUAUUACCAGUUGUAGUUCAUGUGUAUUUAAAUUCAGUUUCCCUGUCAA